AUUGAACGCUGGCGGCAGGCUUAACACAUGCAAGUCGCGGGGUAUAGUUCUUCGGAGCUAGAGACCGGCGCACGGGUCCGUAACGCGUAUGCAAUCUACCUUUUGCAGAGGGAUAGCCCAGAGAAAUUUGGAUUAAUACCUCAUAGUAUGUGAGAAUGGCAUCAUUUUCACAUUAAAGUCACAACGGCAAAAGAUGAGCAUGCGUCCCAUUAGCUUGUUGGUAAGGUAACGGCUUACCAAGGCAACGAUGGGUAGGGGUCCUGAGAGGGAGCACCCCCACACUGGUAACGGUACAAGGACCAGACUCGUCCGGCAGGCAGCUGUGAGGAAUAUGGGACAUUGGGCGCAAGCCUGAUCCAGCCAUGCCGCGUGCAGGAGGACGGUCCUAUGGAUUCUAAACUGCUUAUGUAGAGGAAGAAACACUGGUUCGUGAACCAGCUUGACGGUACUGUAAGAAUAAGGAUCGGCUAACUCCGUGCCAGCCGCCGCGUAAGAC
rnacentral:rRNA from 1 species